rnacentral:lncRNA from 1 species
AAAUUUCUACUGUUUUGAAAUUAGGCAUUUGAUCUAUUCCCAUUUUACUAUAUAUAAUAUGUACAAUUGCUGCGCGCACGCACGUAUGUAUGCCUGGAUCCUGAGUAUAGCUUCAGUAAGGCUUAAACCAACCAUGGACGCUGAUGUAAACUUACUUUGAUUUCUUUCUUAAUAGAUGACAUUCGUUUAAACAUCCAAACUCUCUUCUACCAAGUAACAUCAUCUGAAUAAAGAAUUAAAGAAAACACAGUUUAUAUAGUGAGAGUAGUUUGAAACCGGUCAUUCCAAGGGAAAUCAAUACAUCUA